UUUAACUCAACAAAAGGGGAAAACAAUCUGCUUUAUUUCGUGGCUCUAAGGCUUUAUUUAUAGGAUUACAAGUUGUAGAGAUCCAAAGAAGAAUGUGCUAAAAACAAGACAUUGGAAAUAGAAACAAAGACUUGACUAAAUAAAGUCUUUGACUGAAACUUGGACUACCUCUUCAUAUAGCCACGACCAGGACUUUGAAAGGUGAAGAAUAUACUCCUGAUAUGGGCCAAGACAUGUCCCUUUGAGGCCUGGUCGAAAUCCAUCUUUUCUCUUAGCCAAUAUUUUAUCGGUUUCUCCAUUUGGGCUACACAAGCUCGUUUUUGAAUCUUUUUGAAAACCAUCAAGCCCAAUGAUUUUUUGGACAUUUAGAACAUGAAUAAUCACCUUUGGCAUGAUUGAAUUGACCGUUGGUUCAUCAGAAAGAAGGUUAGCCAUUUCGAGCUUCUCGGGUGGUCUGAAUUCGCGAGAACUGAAGAUCACCUGAUUUGUAAAUAGCAUAACUAUCACAUAUGAACUCCGUUUGAUCUGAUUCUUCUUUGAGGAGAUCCGUAAUUGAGUUGAGAACAUUCUCCAAGUGAUUUCAUGUGUAGAAGCCUCGUGGUUUAGCAGAUAUGAGUCAAACAAUGAACAUAUAUCAUUACUGCUUCCAAUGAUCAAACCAUGCAUGUCUGUUUUGCCCGGUGCGCUACCCCAUGGCACAUCAUUCCCUCCCUCAAUAAAGUGUAUAUGUUUAUUUGCUUGAUUAAACUGUUAGAUCUAUUUGUUUACUUGUAGUGAUGUGAUAAAAACAUAUAGAGCUAUUAGGUUGAUAAAUGAUAAACCGGUUUGUGAGAUGCAAUGAUGAGAUGCAUGUGGCGUGUGAAUGAAUGAGACCAUGUGAAUGGGUAACAGAGAAUGAUUGAGGUGUGUGUAUGUGACACCAAGAACGAGACCAUGUGAAUGGGUAACAGAUAAUGAUUGAUGUGUGUGUAUGUGACACUAAGAACUUAGAGUGUGGUCAUAUGAGGAUAUGGAGAAAUGUGGAAUGUGGCACCGGCAGGAUCGAGUCAUGCCGAGUCUAGGCAUAAGUAACUAUGGGACUGGAGAACGGAUAGUGCCUUACUGAGCCAAAGAGGCCGUGACCGGGUAGUCACAUAGGAGCUACGGAUCGUAGCCCAGUUUGGGCGCCCAUAGGAAACACAACGAAGGGGGUUUGUGAUGGCUCCCCCGGGGUGUGAAAUAGGUCUUACAAGUAUAGGUUGUUUGUGGCAUGCUAGUCUGUAUUAGGUUGUGACUGUGAUAAAUGUAUGCUUGUCCUGAUAUGAGUUCAUAGGUUCCUAGAACUUACCGUCACUGAGUAAUCUCAAUAUUCACCCCUCUCUUUUGUAGAUACGAACGGGGAAGUCAAGGAGUAAGAGUUUGGUGGUGUCAUCUUUCGAGUUUAUGGUUUAUUUUUAAGUUAUUCAUGACUUCAAACACUAUCUCUUUGCGUUUCAGGUUUUCGUUUAAGAUUAUGUUUAUGUAAGAUAAUGGUUUUAAUGGAAUAAAUAAAAUUUUGGACUCAAUGGAAUGUGGUGGAGGAAUAAGUCUGAUCUUGGGGGACGCAGUCCUUACAAUCAUAAUACCAAUUAACUAAAUCAACUAAACAAGAUUCUAUACAUUGAUAUUCCCUCUCAAGAUGAAUGUGUGUAAAUAUUGAUAACACCCAUCUCACUCAUGUUAUCCUGAAAUAGAGCUUGGUACGAUACCUUAGUCAAAAUUUCAGCUAGUUGAUAAUCGUACGCACAUACGUUGUUUUCAGCGUGCUAAGUUCUAUAGUCUCUAUCACCUUAUGGCAAUAAAACUCAACAUGUUUGGUUCUUUCAUGAAAAACGGAGUUACUAGCAAUGUGGAGAGUUGUAGUGUUAUCACAAUAGAGGAAAUACAGAGAAGAAAAAGGAACCCAUAGAGACACUACAUGAAAUGUGAGUAUUAAUAGCAGAAUAUGAUAGCGUUUUUUUCGAUUUUGCUAUGAUUGACAUACUUCUUACUUUUAGAUAGCGCUUACAAAAUUGCAAACGCUAUGCAAAACUAAAACGGAAAAAUAAUUGAUUUUUCCUCCCACACUUGUUUCCCUUUCUCUUUCACUCCAUUUUAUUUGCCUCCAAAAAUCUUAAACCCUAAAAUCAAAAUUUUAAGCACAACCUCUAAACUCUAUACAAAAAUUUUAGACUCUAAUAUUUUAAUAUGAAAUUUCAAAUUUAACUUCAAAUCUUAAAUAUAAACUCAAAAAAUAUAUAUUUUUAGAAAUUAGACUCAAAUCUUAAAUCAAUAUCCCAAACCUUUAACUUUCAAAUCCUCUACUCAAACAUUUAUUCUAAACACCAAACUUGAAAACUAAUUUUAAAUUAAUCAUAUAUCCUAAACUAUAACUAAAAAUAGUAAAAUUUUAAUAUUUUUUAUUAGUUCUAAGAAUAAUCAUAUACCAUAAGCUCUAAUUAGAAAUCUUAUUUUCUAUGCAUACACUACAAAAAAGGAGAUAUUGUUACAAUUUUCUGGUUAAAUUAAAAUUUUUUUUUUCCGAUUACGGAACGGAGAAGAAAUGAAGAAGAAGCAAUCGAAAUCUGGACCUUCUGUACCAGAGACUAAUAGAGGAAGAGAUCGAGUUUCCUUUAUGAUUUCUUCUUCGAUUGGCAUGAUGAAGCAGCUUCAGUGUCGGAGAUCAAAAUCAUGCAAUUCUGAAUCCAAGCGCUUCGCAAUCGGAGAUCAAAGCAUGCAAUUCAGAAGCCAAAAACUUCACUGUGGGACUCUUCGUUUAGGCUCAAAUCACGCGUUCUCCUGUGGAGAAACCGAUAUUAUUUAGUGAGGAAGGAGCGGCCAAUGCAGAGGAGCUGAGACGGAACAAGAAGAAAUGAAGAAGCAAUCCAAAUCUCGACCAAAAUAGAGACUCAUAGAGGAAGAGGUCUAGUUUUCUUCUUGAUUGCUUCUUUGAUUGGCAUUCGGCAUUCACGCUUUCAUUGGCAAGGUGAAGAGAUAAAAACCAUUUUUUCCUAUUUUGAUUUUGAACUAUUAAGUAAAUGGGGAUGAUUUUUCUUCUGAUUUUCAUUGGUAUAACAUGGAUCAAUUAGUUCAUUCCGAUCAAUUAGUUCAUUGGUUUAGGAGGAUUGCAGAGUUAAGUUCAUUCCGAUCAAUUAGUUCGAAAUCCUAACUAACUAAUUUUGAAAAUAACAUUGUAUUAAGAUUAUUUUAGAGAUUCAAACUAAAUCAUUUUUAAAAGUUUGAAAUUCAAACCAAUAUAUACCUUUUUUAAUGUACAUCAAAUAUGAUAUUAAUUGAGAUCUUUAAACAA